rnacentral:rRNA from 1 species
UGGGGGCCCUACGGGAGGCAGCAGUGGGGAAUUUUGGACAAUGGGCGCAAGCCUGAUCCAGCAAUGCCGCGUGAGUGAAGAAGGCCUUCGGGUUGUAAAGCUCUUUUGUCAGGGAAGAAACGGCCGCGGCUAAUAUCUGCGGCUAAUGACGGUACCUGAAGAAUAAGCACCGGCUAACUACGUGCCAGCAGCCGCGGUAAUACGUAGGGUGCAAGCGUUAAUCGGAAUUACUGGGCGUAAAGCGUGCGCAGGCGGUUUUGUAAGUCUGACGUGAAAGCCCCGGGCUCAACCUGGGAAUUGCGUUGGAGACUGCAAGGCUUGAAUCUGGCAGAGGGGGGUAGAAUUCCACGUGUAGCAGUGAAAUGCGUAGAGAUGUGGAGGAACACCGAUGGCGAAGGCAGCCCCCUGGGUCAAGAUUGACGCUCAUGCACGAAAGCGUGGGGAGCAAACAGGAUUAGAUACCCUGGUAGUCCACGCCCUAAACGAUGUCUACUAGUUGUCGGGUUUUAAUUAACUUGGUAACGCAGCUAACGCGUGAAGUAGACCGCUUCUA